AGUGAACGCUGGCGGUAGGCCUAACACAUGCAAGUCGAACGGCAGCACAGUAAGAGCUUGCUCUUACGGGUGGCGAGUGGCGGACGGGUGAGGAAUACAGCGGAAUCUACUUUUUCGUGGGGGAUAACGUAGGGAAACUUACGCUAAUACCGCAUACGAACUACGGGUGAAAGCAGGGGAUCUUCGGACCUUGCGCGAUUGAAUGAGCCGAUGUCGGAUUAGCUAGUUGGCGGGGUAAAGGCCCACCAAGGCGACGAUCCGUAGCUGGUCUGAGAGGAUGAUCAGCCACACUGGAACUGAGACACGGUCCAGACUCCUACGGGAGGCAGCAGUGGGGAAUAUUGGACAAUGGGCGCAAGCCUGAUCCAGCCAUACCGCGUGGGUGAAGAAGGCCUUCGGGUUGUAAAGCCCUUUUGUUGGGAAAGAAAAGCAGCAGGUUAAUACCCCGCUGUUCUGACGGUACCCAAAGAAUAAGCACCGGCUAACUUCGUG
rnacentral:rRNA from 1 species